AGCUAGCAUCUUAGCUAACGUUAGCCGCAGAAUGUUUGAUUCGGGUUUGCAGGUCGUUGCGACCGUUACUGACAAUGAUAUCAUUUUGAGCACGUGCACGCGGGCGUUUUGCAGUUACACAACACUUUACCGAGCGAGUCUCUGCUAACACGAAAAUGAACUGUGGACUUUAUGAGUCCAGAAUUCAGUUUUAAGAUAUUUAGCAGUGGAUACAGAGAGUUUGUACGACGGCAGCACCGCCUGUGUUGCACCGGGGUGCUGGUGGAGCUCCGCCGGCAGCCGCCAACAAAAGAAGUUGUGUUAGCUACAGCAGAGAAGACAGCUGAACUCACCCCGCGGAUAUCCCAGUAAGCCAGUGUCAUCGUCAUUUUGAAGGACUUUCCAGAUUCCAGACGGCGCUCAGAGACGCGUGCAGCUGUAGUAGAUCGCUGCUCCCAUACACAGACUGCCCUCCUCCUCGAUGGUCUCCAGCUCAUCUGUGCGAAUGGCCUGUGUGAUUAAAUUCAGCUCCUCACACAUGGUCUCAUACCGGUACGCCACGCGGAUGUCAGGAACGUUGGUGCGCCUGAUGUCGUUCCCCUCCUGCCCCUCCUUGAUGUACUUCGAGCCGAGCCAGGAGCUCUUCACCUGAUCCAGAAGAAGAAAAUUAAACCGGUUGCAGAACAGUAGACUGAGAAGGGAGUAGUGGAGUUGUAGAUUGUAAAAUUUGAUAAUGUGUAUUGUGCAAUAAAGAUUAUUGAUACCUUA